ACUCUGAAAUAUUAUUGUCUAAAGUGUAUGUAUUGAUUGUAUGAAUGUUAGGUGUCAACUGCUGCUGGUAGCUCGAAUGUGGUCAUUUCUAAUAAUGCUAAUACUAAUGAGUUUCAAGACCCAAUAGUUCUCAGAAGUGCUUUUCAGGCCACCCUUCCAGAGUAUGAGCACUUGGUUGUAGAAUUAGAUCAAGCACACCCUUACCCAAAAAUUGAGAACAUGAACCGUGGUGAGAUGUGUACAGCGCUGCUCAGGGUGAACCUACGCAGCAAAGAGGAGGCAUUGCAAUGGCUGGCUGACUACCAAACGUCUUCGUCAACUGACUGGAGAGUCAGGCGAACGUUUGAGGAAAAUACACCUUGCAUC